CCCAACUCUCAAGUUUGUUUGACAGAGUGGUAGCAGGCAGUGUCUGCUUUGAUGAGUCCAGUACCAGCAGCUGAGUUCCAGAUCCUACAGUCUCGUUUGUGAGACUCAAAUGGUCUCAAAUGGUGCCCUACCCAAAGCCAGAAGCCCUGUUGCUCAGAUGCCAGGUUGGGAGGCAGGUUACAGCUGUUGGAGUUACUGAGGAAAAUGUCAUAUGGAAUAGCCUCAUUUAUUUUGACAAAAACCAGUCUUCAUGCUGUGAUGGUAAUGGAAUCUUUCAGGCAUGCUAUGCUGGUUUGGAAACCUUUACACCCUGGCAGAACCAGACAACUGAUGCUGGCAGCUUUAUCAUUUUGGAGAACAGUGACAUUUAAUUUUCUAGACACAAAACCAAUUGUGAUAAAGUCACAAUGCAAAAUCUUUUGUCUUGGGAAAGAAGCAAAGAUAAAAUGGCAAAGUAUACUGGUUUUAAAAAGCUUUCCUUCAUAUUCUUGGAAAGCAAUUUGA
rnacentral:lncRNA from 1 species